UACGUAGGGUGCGAGCGUUGUCCGGAAUUACUGGGCGUAAAGAGCUCGUAGGUGGUUUGUCGCGUUGUUCGUGAAAACCGGGGGCUUAACCCUCGGCGUGCGGGCGAUACGGGCAGACUUGAGUACUGCAGGGGAGACUGGAAUUCCUGGUGUAGCGGUGAAAUGCGCAGAUAUCAGGAGGAACACCGGUGGCGAAGGCGGUUCUCUGGGCAUUACCUGACGCUGAGGAGCGAAAGUGUGGGGGAGCGAACAGG
rnacentral:rRNA from 1 species